GAGUUUGAUCAUGGCUCAGAUUGAACGCUGGCGGCAUGCUUUACACAUGCAAGUCGGGCGGCAGCACAGAGAAGCUUGCUUCUUGGGUGGCGAGUGGCGAACGGGUGAGUAACAUAUCGGAACGUACCGAGUAAUGGGGGAUAACUAAUCGAAAGAUUAGCUAAUACCGCAUAUUCUCUGAGGAGGAAAGCAGGGGACCUUCGGGCCUUGCGUUAUUCGAGCGGCCGAUAUCUGAUUAGCUAGUUGGUGGGGUAAAGGCCUACCAAGGCGACGAUCAGUAGCGGGUCUGAGAGGAUGAUCCGCCACACUGGGACUGAGACACGGCCCAGACUCCUACGGGAGGCAGCAGUGGGGAAUUUUGGACAAUGGGCGCAAGCCUGAUCCAGCCAUGCCGCGUGUCUGAUGAAGGCCUUCGGGUUGUAAAGGACUUUUGUCAGGGAAGAAAAGGCUGUUGCUAAUAUCGACAGCUGAUGACGGUACCUGAAGAAUAAGCACCGGCUAACUACGUGCCAGCAGCCGCGGUAAUACGUAGGGUGCGAGCGUUAAUCGGAAUUACUGGGCGUAAAGCGAGCGCAGACGGUUACUUAAGCAGGAUGUGAAAUCCCCGGGCUCAACCUGGGAACUGCGUUNUGAACUGGGUGANUAGAGUGUGUCANAGGGAGGUAGAAUUCCACGUGUAGCAGUGAAAUGCGUAGAGACGUGGAGGAAUACCGAUGGCGGAGGCAGCCUCCUGGGAUAACACUGACGUUCAUGCUCGAAAGCGUGGGUAGCAAACAGGAUUAGAUACCCUGGUAGUCCACGCCCUAAACGAUGUCAAUUAGCUGUUGGGCAACUUGAUUGCUUAGUAGCGUAGCUAACGCGUGAAAUUGACCGCCUGGGGAGUACGGUCGCAAGAUUAAAACUCAAAGGAAUUGACGGGGACCCGCACAAGCGGUGGAUGAUGUGGAUUAAUUCGAUGCAACGCGAAGAACCUUACCUGGUCUUGACAUGUACGGAAUCCUCCAGAGACGGAGGAGUGCCUUCGGGAGCCGUAACACAGGUGCUGCAUGGCUGUCGUCAGCUCGUGUCGUGAGAUGUUGGGUUAAGUCCCGCAACGAGCGCAACCCUUGUCAUUAGUUGCCAUCAUUUAGUUGGGCACUCUAAUGAGACUGCCGGUGACAAGCCGGAGGAAGGUGGGGAUGAUGUCAAGUCCUCAUGGCCCUUAUGACCAGGGCUUCACACGUCAUACAAUGGUCGGCACAGAGGGUAGCCAAGCCGCGAGGUGGAGCCAAUCUCACAAAACCGAUCGUAGUCCGGAUUGCACUCUGCAACUCGAGUGCAUGAAGUCGGAAUCGCUAGUAAUCGCAGGUCAGCAUACUGCGGUGAAUACGUUCCCGGGUCUUGUACACACCGCCCGUCACACCAUGGGAGUGGGGGAUACCAGAAGUAGGUAGGGUAACCGCAAGGAGCCCGCUUACCACGGUAUGCUUCAUGACUGGGGUGAAGUCGUAACAAGG
rnacentral:rRNA from 1 species